AUGCAGUUCCUCCAGUUUGUAGUUUCAUAUCACGUAAAAGCAUGGAGUGAUAGUAAUGAACAACAGCUCCAGAUGGCAAGAGGCCGAGAGACACCAUAUGAGCAAUGGCAUUACAGGCUUCCAGUGCACACAAACGGAAACGAGUUUUACUGGAUGCAGCUGACUUUGCACUCCUAUGAUGCUGCACUCUUCAUCAACCUGAUGAGAGUGGACCUAACUGCGGUCCACGCCAUCCUGCAGCUGUUCGGUAGUGCUUCGGAGCUGAAAACAAACAUGGAAAAUAUGGUGGCCUACCCUAUCUCCUGCUCGGAUAUAAACACACGAUCUAUACUUGCCGAGUUUGGGCUGCUGAAUGGGGAUCUUCCUUGCCAAUACUUGGGGUUACCGCUGGGAGUCCGAAAGCGAAAGAGAGUGGAGGAUUCAACCUGUGAUAGACAAAAUUGCAGGAAAAGAUGA
rnacentral:rRNA from 1 species